rnacentral:rRNA from 1 species
CACAUUUCUUGUGUGACCGCGUACUUUUUGUAGAACGGGCCAACGAGUUACGUUAAGUAGCAAGGUUAAGCACUUAAGGUGUGGAGCCGUAGCGAAAGCGAGUUUUAACUGAGCGUUCAGUUACUUGCCGUAGACCCGAAACCGGGCGACCUACCCAUGAGCAGGAUGAAGCGAAAGUAAAAUUUCGUGGAGGUCCGAACCCACGAGCG